UGGCGGACGGGUGAGUAAUGUCUGGGAAACUGCCCGAUGGAGGGGGAUAACUACUGGAAACGGUAGCUAAUACCGCAUAACGUCGCAAGACCAGAGGGGGACCUUCGGGCCUCUUGCCAUCGGAUGUGCCCAGAUGGGAUUAGCUAGUAGGUGGGGUAACGGCUCACCUAGGCGACGAUCCCUAGCUGGUCUGAGAGGAUGACCAGCCACACUGGAACUGAGACACGGCCCAG
rnacentral:rRNA from 1 species